AACCGUGUGUCCACAACCGAUCAAAACACGUUAAUGUGUGAUGAUGUGCUUUUUGUAGAACGAGCCAGCGAGUUACGGUAUGCAGCAAGGUUAAGCACUUAAGGUGCGCAGCCGAAGGGAAACCAAGUCUAAAUAGGGCGUAUAGUUGCAUGCUGUAGACCCGAAACCGGGUGACCUAUCCAUGGCCAGGGUGAAGCGGAAGUAAAAUUCCGUGGAGGCCCGAACCACAAUGGUGUUGAAAAACCAUGGGAUGAGCUGUGG
rnacentral:rRNA from 1 species